rnacentral:rRNA from 1 species
CCUACGGGAGGCAGCAGUGAGGAAUAUUGGUCAAUGGUCGGGAGACUGAACCAGCCAAGCCGCGUGAGGGAGGAAGGUACAGAGUAUCGUAAACCUCUUUUGUCAGGGAACAAAGGCGGGGACGUGUCCCCGGAUGAGUGUACCUGAAGAAAAAGCAUCGGCUAACUCCGUGCCAGCAGCCGCGGUAAUACGGAGGAUGCGAGCGUUAUCCGGAUUUAUUGGGUUUAAAGGGUGCGCAGGCGGUCUGUUAAGUGAGCGGUAAAAGCCCGGGGUUAAACCCCGGCCCGCCGUUGAAACUGGCAGUCUCGAGUUGGAGAGAAGUAUGCGGAAUGCGCGGUGUAGCGGUGAAAUGCAUAGAGAUCGCGCAGAACUCCGAUUGCGAAGGCAGCAUGCCGGCUCCACACUGACGCUGAGGCACGAAAGCGUGGGUAUCGAACAGGAUUAGAUACCCGAGUAGUC